rnacentral:rRNA from 1 species
AUUGAACGCUGGCGGCAGGCCUAACACAUGCAAGUCGAGCGGAGCGGCGGAGGGGUGAGUAAUGCCUAGGAAUCUGCAUGGUAGUGGGGGAUAACGUCCGGAAACGGGCGCUAAUGCCGCAUACUAUCAGAUGAGCCUAGGCCGGGUUAGUUAGUUGGAUGGGGAAAGGCCUACCAAGGCGACGAUCCGACACUGGUCUGGGAGGAUGAUCAGUCACACUGGAACUGAGACACGGUCCAGACGCCUACGGGAGGCAGCAGUGGGGAAUAUUGGACAAUGGGGUAAAGCCUGAUCCAGCCAUGCCGCGUGUGUGAAGAAGGUCUUCGGAUUGUAAAGCACUUUAAGUUGGGAGGCGUUACCAACAGAAUAAGCACCGGCUAACUUCGUGCCAGCCGCCGCGGUAAUUC